UGCGUAGGCGGAAAAUUAAGUCAGAGGUGAAAUCCCACAGCUCAACUGUGGAACUGCCUUUGAUACUGGUUGUCUUGAGUUACAGUGAAGUAGAUAGAAUAUGUAGUGUAGCGGUGAAAUGCAUAGAUAUUACAUAGAAUACCGAUUGCGAAGGCAGUCUACUAACUGUAUACUGACGCUAAUGGACGAAAGCGUGGGGAGCGAACAGGAUUAGAUACCCUGGUAGUC
rnacentral:rRNA from 1 species